UACGGGGGGGGCAAGCGUUGUUCGGAAUUACUGGGCGUAAAGGGCGCGUAGGCGGCCUUCUAAGUCGGACGUGAAAUCCCUCGGCUUAACCGAGGAACUGCGUCCGAUACUGAAAGGCUUGAAUCCGGGAGAGGGAUGUGGAAUUCCAGGUGUAGCGGUGAAAUGCGUAGAUAUCUGGAGGAACACCGGUGGCGAAGGCGGCAUCCUGGACCGGUAUUGACGCUGAGGCGCGAAAGCGUGGGGAGCAAACAGG
rnacentral:rRNA from 1 species